rnacentral:rRNA from 1 species
UACAGAGGCCCCAAGCGUUAUCCGGAAUCACUGGGCGUAAAGGGUGUGUAGGCGGUUGUGUUAGUCUUUCGUAAAAGCUUUUCGGCUUAACCGAGAAAAUGCGGAAGAAACGGCACGGCUUUGAGGGCGCGAGAGGUAGAGGGAACUCAUAGUGUAGGGGUGAAAUCCGUUGAUAUUAUGGGGAACACCAAAUGCGAAGGCACUCUACUGGCGCGUACCUGACGCUGAAACACGAAAGCGUGGGAAUCGAACGGG